rnacentral:ribozyme from 14 species
AUAUACACAUUCGUACGAGAACAAAUCAAUCAACAAACAAACAAACAAACAAACAAACAAACAAAGCGGAAGGACACGAAAGCAAAAGCACUUUCUUUCUUUCUUUCUUUCUUUCUUUCU